AUACUUACCUGGACGGGGUCAACGGGCUAUCAAGAAGGCCUGUGGCCUAGAUCAGUGGCCUUCAUUGCACUUUAGAGGGUGCGCUGGUUUACCAUCUCUCAAAGUGGGAGAGUAAACGUCAUAAUUUGUGGUAGCGGGGUAAGCGUCCGCGUGGCCCCUGC
rfam:Zea mays cultivar B73 chromosome 5, whole genome shotgun sequence.